AUCCACAGGCAGGGCUAGAAAAGGGAGUGGAACAUUUUACUUAGGCAGGAAGCACUGAAGAGAAGAAUCUUUUUUUCAGUAGACAUUUGUGGGAAAUAAAAAUUUGUUUAGAAGAAUUUAGGCCAAGAGAUAAAAUGGUCUUCUUUUGACUGAGGAGAGAUAAGAUAGAUUUUAAGCAGACAUCUGAAGUUAAAGUUAUUCCUACAGAUGGAAGGGUGCACUUUCCUGCCCCUUGACUUUGGAAUCAGCGAAAGAGAUAUUAGCAAAAGUGGUAUGAUGAAACUGACACUCCAUAUGUGCUUUAUGGAGUUGUGUUUUCCUGAUUCUUCAUGGUCCAUGUAGAUGUGUUGAUGUCUGUGCAACUGAAGGAACAAUCACCUCUUCCAGUAUUUAUAGACUGCUUUUUGCAGGUCUGCAGGCCUGCCUCUGUGAGUACAGAUGGGUUUGUCUCCAGUGUGUGGGUACACCUGCCUGUGGACUGAGCUGAUCAGGGUUGAAGCUAGGUCACAGAGAUGCUUCAGGAGUUGAAGUUGGAACUGCAGUCAGCCAGCCUGUUACCCAAGAGACAAGCAGAAUACAUUAUCUUUUGUUUUAUGCUGAAGUAGAGUGCAGCAAGCAAAAAGCAGCAAAAGACACAUAAUCAAAGUACUUGGAAUGCUGACUGUAAAAUUAUGCUGAGAACUGGCUGCAUGAUAAGAUGCUUUUCCUUCCUCUUUGUUAUUUGUAUUAUUUUGUAAAGAUAGGCCAGUGUGAGUAUGUCCAAAUAAGCUAAUAAUCUAUUUCCCUUAAAAUUUCAGCAAAUAUUCAAGAGAAUAAAAAUGUAAGUUAUUGUCCACACAGCUAAUGUUAAUUUUUCAUUAACAUAAUUUAAGUCUCGGUGAUAGUUUGAAAAUGUUCAUAAUGUUCAUUAUCUAAUAAAAUAGAUAAUUGUGGA
ensembl:lncRNA novel transcript